rnacentral:rRNA from 1 species
GGUGUGACUGCGUACCUUUUGUAUAAUGGGUCAGCGACUUAUAUUCUGUAGCAAGGUUAACCGUAUAGGGGAGCCGAAGGGAAACCGAGUCUUAACUGGGCGUUAAGUUGCAGGGUAUAGACCCGAAACCCGGUGAUCUAGCCAUGGGCAGGUUGAAGGUUGGGUAACACUAACUGGAGGACCGAACCGACUAAUGUUGAAAAAUUAGCGGAUGACCUGUGGCUGGGGGUGAAAGGCCAAUCAAACCGGGAGAUAGCUGGUUCUCCCCGAAAGCUAUUUAGGUAGCGCCUCGUGAACUCAUCUUCGGGGGUAGAGCACUGUUUCGGCUAGGGGGCCAUCCCGGCUUACCAACCCGAUGCAAACUACGAAUACCGAAGAAUGUUAUCACGGGAGACACACGGCGGGUGCUAACGUCCGUCGUGAAGAGGGAAACAACCCAGACCGCCAGCUAAGGUCCCAAAGUCAUGGUUAAGUGGGAAACGAUGUGGGAAGGCCCAGACAGCCAGGAUGUUGGCUUAGAAGCAGCCAUCAUUUAAAGAAAGCGUAAUAGCUCACUGGUCGAGUCGGCCUGCGCGGAAGAUGUAACGGGGCUAAACCAUGCACCGAAGCUGCGGCAGCGAC